UUCUUUACACACAAGCUUCCGAAGUAUUUCACUAUUACAUAAAUGUUUUAAUUACCUGAACUGUAAAUAAAUAAAUCUUACAAAUAAGUUUAAUUGCAUCACUUUAUUCUAUGUCACUCAUUAACAUAUCUAGAACCUUAAAUAAAUACACAACACCACCUAUUGUUCGUAAUAUGAUUACAUUAAUUUAUUCUCGUUCAAUACAAAUGGGGUUACUUGGAAAUAAAUAUUGACUAUAGUUAAACUUUCUUCCAGUUAAUUAUAGUAUUAUCAAGAAAACUGCAAAAAAAGUCCCGAUUUAUUCUUUCUCUGUUUGUUUUGAUAUAAAAGCCUCAUUGUAAGUUGAAUAGAUAUCAAUUCAAAUAUAUCAUCUGGCAAAUCUUAAACAAAAAUCCAUGAGGUUCCAAGUCGUAUUUCUUUUACUAGUAGUUAUGGUUAUGAGUGCAUUUGCACAUCAUUGCCCAAAAGCUGAUAUGGGUCCAUGCAGAGCGAAGGUACCAGUUUGGGUAUACAAAGAUGAAACCAACGACUGUCAUAAAUUCAUUUAUGGAGGAUGUGGAGGCAAUUCAAAUCGAUAUGAUACACGUGAUGAAUGUUUGAAGGCUUGUAAACAUUAAAAACUUGUGACAGACUUUAGUAAAUAGAAAAAAUGUACCUUA